ACAGGGUGCGAUAAAAAAGAGAGGCCACACACGAUGCCUCGAAGUUUGGAAGAUGCGUGAAGGACAACGCAUUACUAUUCCCAUCAAUACUAAAGGACAACCCGUUGGUGACAAUGUUAACAAGUUGACAAACUUCCUAGGGACUAUAGCACGCAAUGGGGAAUAUGCACCCCUUACAUUUACUGAUUGGAGGGCAGUGUCGAAUGAGAAGAAGGAUGAUAUGUUAGGACUUGUUAUGUCUAAGUUUGAGUUUGACGCGGAUGCAAAGAAGUGGGUGUUACAAUCAAUUGGUAGAAAAUGGAAGGACUGGAAAGGUGAACUGAAAAAACUCUACUAUUCUCCUCAUGAGACUGACGAGGAGCGGCUUGCGAACCUUGAUGAGCGGGUCAAAGAGGAUCAGUGGAAGGCACUCAUUCAGUUUUGGAACUCUAAAGAAGGGAAUGCUCGUAGUAAGACAAGUUUAGAGAAUCGAAAAAGACAAUUAAUCGGCCACGCUGCAGGCUCAAAGAGCUUUGCACGGAUAUGUGAGGAAGAGAGGAAGAAAACGGCUAGUGGCGAGGAUCCAAGCCGGGCAGAUGUGUUUAUAUUGACCCAUACGUGCAAGAGUGGUAGGCCUGUGGAUGAGGCUUCAUUAAGAGUAAUGGAACAACUUAAUGAACAAAUUUCUCAGCAGCCCGAUACCUCACAGAAUAGCACAGGAAGGAAUGACUUGUUCUCUCAAGUAAUGGGAGAAGAUCGACAUGGCCGAGUCCGCACUUAUGGGUUAGGCCCCACUCCUACUGAUUUGUGGGGAACAACACGUAGCCAACGAAGGAUUGCCUCCGCUGCUCAGAGUAGAAAUGAAGAAUAUGAAGGACUGCAGAUUGAAGUAUCAUCCCUAAAAUCGGAAGUUUCAUCCCUAAAAUCAGAUUUUUCAUCUUUUAAAGAAUCCAUGGCGCAGCUGAUAUCCUCUAGGACAAAUCUGAAAUCCACAGUAUCAGAUAAUUCAGCUAAUCUCAACCUAAACCAACCGGCCUCAUCAUCAAGCCAGGGACACUUAGCGAAAAAGGGAAAGACUACGACUUGCAGUAGUACCGGGGACGUAAUCGAAGUUCUUCUUACUAGUAUCCGUGGGGUUACUGUCGCUAGAGGGAUUGUCUUGAGUAAGGAUCCGCUCACAAAAGUAGGCGGGUUCCCACUUGGAAAUGGUUUUUGGGAAGUAUAUAUUCAGGUGGCAAUUGUACGUGAAGAGACUUUGAUGAGACCCUAUGGACGGUACAGAACAAUUGGGGAUGCGGCUGGAACGAGUAUUUGUUGGCCUGAUUGUUGUUGUUUGGUAAGAUUUUUUUUUUUUUUCAUAUACAAUAGAACUUAUAUAAGAUUGUAAAUAUUAACUAAUUUCUUCUUGUUAUUUUAUUUUGUAGGUUGUGACAACUAUGGAUUGAGCUAAAUGGAGGGAUCUCUCUCUCUCUCUUUUUGUUAUUUCUGAAAACAAAAAUAAUUGAUUUUGACAGUUGGUUGUGAUAGCUAAUGUUUGUUUCAUGUUAGUAGUUUUGCUUGACUAAUCUACAAAGAUUUAUAUUGUGAUUUGUUUCAGCUUUUCAUCUUCUUAUGCGUAACAGAAGUGUAGAUGCAUUUUCAUCAGGACUACUUGGUAGUAAGAGAGGUGGAUGAUCAAUAUAUACCCUUGUGUUCAGUUUCUAUGCAGG